rnacentral:rRNA from 1 species
GCUCAGCCAUAAACUUUUACUUACAUCUUAACCGCCAGGGAACUACGAGCCAAGCUUAAAACCCAAAGGACUUGACGGUACCCCAUAUCCCCCUAGAGGAGCCUGUCCUACAAUCGAUAAUCCACGUUUAACCUCACCACUUCUAGUUAAUCAGCCUGUAUACCUCCGUCGUCAGCUUACCUUGUGAGCGCUAAUUAGUGAGCUCAAUGCUUAUCUACCAGUACGUCAGGUCAAGGUGCAGCAAAUGAAAUGGAAAGAGAUGGGCUACACUUUCUACUUUAGAAAAAACGAAAAACUACCUAUGAAAUCUAGUUAGAAGGCGGAUUUAGCAGUAAAAAGGAACCAAAACAUUCUUUUUAACUUGGCACUGAGGUGCGU